UAAGUACCCGCCUGGGAGUACGCCGCAAGGCUAAACUCAAAGGAAUUGACGGGGCCCGCACAAGCGGCGGAGCAUGUGGAUUAAUUCGAUGCAACGCGAAGAACCUUACCUGGGUUUGACAUGCACAGGACGCCGGCAGAGAUGUCSGUUCCCUUGUGGCCUGUGUGCAGGUGGUGCAUGGCUGUCGUCAGCUCGUGUCGUGAGAUGUUGGGUUAAGUCCCGCAACGAGCGCAACCCUUGUCUCAUGUUGCCAGCGGGUAAUGCCGGGGACUCGUGAGAGACUGCCGGGGUCAACUCGGAGGAAGGUGGGGAUGACGUCAAGUCAUCAUGCCCCUUAUGUCCAGGGCUUCACACAUGCUACAAUGGCCGGUACAAAGGGCUGCGAUGCCGCGAGGUUAAGCGAAUCCUUUUAAAGCCGGUCUCAGUUCGGAUCGGGGUCUGCAACUCGACCCCGUGAAGUCGGAGUCGCUAGUAAUCGCAGAUCAGCAACGCUGCGGUGAAUACGUUCCCGGGCCUUGCACACACCGCCCGUC
rnacentral:rRNA from 1 species